rnacentral:rRNA from 1 species
AUUGAACGCUGGCGGCAGGCCUAACACAUGCAAGUCGAGCGGAUGAAGGGAGCUUGCUCCUGGAUUCAGCGGCGGACGGGUGAGUAAUGCCUAGGAAUCUGCCUGGUAGUGGGGGAUAACGUCCGGAAACGGGCGCUAAUACCGCAUACGUCCUGAGGGAGAAAGUGGGGGAUCUUCGGACCUCACGCUAUCAGAUGAGCCUAGGUCGGAUUAGCUAGUUGGUGGGGUAAAGGCCUACCAAGGCGACGAUCCGUAACUGGUCUGAGAGGAUGAUCAGUCACACUGGAACUGGGAAACGGUCCAGACUCUUAGGGGAGGCAGCAGUGGGAAAUAUUGGACAAUGGGCGAAAGCUUGAUCAAGCCAUGCCGCGGGGGUGAAGAAGGCCUUCGGAUUGUAAAGAACUUUAAGUUGGGAGGAAGGGAAGUAAGUUAAUACCUGGCUGUUUUGACGUUACAAACAGAAUAAGAACCGGCUAACUUCGU